UACGAACUGUGCGAACGUUAUUCGGAAUCACUGGGCUUACAGGGUGCGUAGGCGGCUUGCUAAGUAGGGUGUGAAAGCCCCCGGCUUAACCGGGGAAUUGCGCCCUAAACUGGCGAGCUGGAGUGAGAUAGGGGUGUGCGGAACUUCCGGUGGAGCGGUGAAAUGUGUUGAUAUCGGAAGGAACGCCGGUGGCGAAGGCGGGUCUCUGGGCAGUAACUGACGCUGAGGAGCGAAAGCGUGGGGAGCGAACAGG
rnacentral:rRNA from 1 species